GGCGACGGGUGCGUAACGCGUGGGAAUCUACCUUAUAGUGGGGGAUAGCCCGAAGAAAUUCGGAUUAAUACCGCAUAAUCUCUACGGAGCAAAGUGGGGGAUCUUCGGACCGUCACGCUAUUAGAUGAGCCCGCGUUGGACUAGCUAGUUGGUGGGGUAAAAGCCCACCAAGGCGACGAUCCAUAGCUGGUUUGAGAGGAUGAUCAGCCACACUGGGACUGAGACACGGCCCAG
rnacentral:rRNA from 1 species